CCCACCUGAAUCCAUUCCGAACUCAGAAGUGAAACGAAAUAGCGUCGAUGGUAGUGUGGGGUUUCCCCAUGUGAGAGUAGAACAUCGCCAGGC
rnacentral:rRNA from 1 species